UACGUAGGGCGCGAGCGUUGUCCGGAAUCACUGGGCGUAAAGCGCACGUAGGCGGACUCUUAAGUCGGUGGUGAAAUCCUGGAGCUCAACUCCAGAACUGCCUUCGAUACUGAGAGUCUCGAGUCCGGGAGAGGUGAGUGGAACUGCGAGUGUAGAGGUGAAAUUCGUAGAUAUUCGCAAGAACACCAGUGGCGAAGGCGGCUCACUGGCCCGGUACUGACGCUGAGGUGCGAAAGCGUGGGGAGCAAACAGG
rnacentral:rRNA from 1 species